rnacentral:tRNA from 1 species
GGGGAUUUAGCUCAGUGGUAGAGCGUUUGCCUAGCAAGCACAAGGCCAUGGGUUCGGUCCCCA